GAUGAACGCUGGCGGCGUGCCUAAUACAUGCAAGUCGAGCGAACGGACGAGAAGCUUGCUUCUCUGAUGUUAGCGGCGGACGGGUGAGUAACACGUGGAUAACCUACCUAUAAGACUGGGAUAACUUCGGGAAACCGGAGCUAAUACCGGAUAAUAUUUUGAACCGCAUGGUUCAAAAGUGAAAGACGGUCUUGCUGUCACUUAUAGAUGGAUCCGCGCUGCAUUAGCUAGUUGGUAAGGUAACGGCUUACCAAGGCAACGAUGCAUAGCCGACCUGAGAGGGUGAUCGGCCACACUGGAACUGAGACACGGUCCAGACUCCUACGGGAGGCAGCAGUAGGGAAUCUUCCGCAAUGGGCGAAAGCCUGACGGAGCAACGCCGCGUGAGUGAUGAAGGUCUUCGGAUCGUAAAACUCUGUUAUUAGGGAAGAACAUAUGUGUAAGUAACUGUGCACAUCUUGACGGUACCUAAUCAGAAAGCCACGGCUAACUACGUGCCAGCAGCCGCGGUAAUACGUAGGUGGCAAGCGUUAUCCGGAAUUAUUGGGCGUAAAGCGCGCGUAGGCGGUUUUUUAAGUCUGAUGUGAAAGCCCACGGCUCAACCGUGGAGGGUCAUUGGAAACUGGAAAACUUGAGUGCAGAAGAGGAAAGUGGAAUUCCAUGUGUAGCGGCGAAAUGCGCAGAGAUAUGGAGGAACACCAGUGGCGAAGGCGACUUUCUGGUCUGUAACUGACGCUGAUGUGCGAAAGCGUGGGGAUCAAACAGGAUUAGAUACCCUGGUAGUCCACGCCGUAAACGAUGAGUGCUAAGUGUUAGGGGGUUUCCGCCCCUUAGUGCUGCAGCUAACGCAUUAAGCACUCCGCCUGGGGAGUACGACCGCAAGGUUGAAACUCAAAGGAAUUGACGGGGACCCGCACAAGCGGUGGAGCAUGUGGUUUAAUUCGAAGCAACGCGAAGAACCUUACCAAAUCUUGACAUCCUUUGACAACUCUAGAGAUAGAGCCUUCCCCUUCGGGGGACAAAGUGACAGGUGGUGCAUGGUUGUCGUCAGCUCGUGUCGUGAGAUGUUGGGUUAAGUCCCGCAACGAGCGCAACCCUUAAGCUUAGUUGCCAUCAUUAAGUUGGGCACUCUAAGUUGACUGCCGGUGACAAACCGGAGGAAGGUGGGGAUGACGUCAAAUCAUCAUGCCCCUUAUGAUUUGGGCUACACACGUGCUACAAUGGACAAUACAAAGGGCAGCGAAACCGCGAGGUCAAGCAAAUCCCAUAAAGUUGUUCUCAGUUCGGAUUGUAGUCUGCAACUCGACUACAUGAAGCUGGAAUCGCUAGUAAUCGUAGAUCAGCAUGCUACGGUGAAUACGUUCCCGGGUCU
rnacentral:rRNA from 1 species